rnacentral:rRNA from 1 species
AUUGAACGCUGGCGGCAGGCUUAACACAUGCAAGUCGAGCGGGGGAGGUUGCUUCGGUAACUGACCUAGCGGCGGACGGGUGAGUGAUGCUUAGGAAUCUGCCUAUUAGUGGGGGACAACAUUUCGAAAGGGAUGCUAAUACCGCAUACGCCCUACGGGGGAAAGCAGGGGAUCUUCGGACCUUGCGCUAAUAGAUGAGCCUAAGUCGGAUUAGCUAGUUGGUGGGGUAAAGGCCUACCAAGGCGACGAUCUGUAGCGGGUCUGAGAGGAUGAUCCGCCACACUGGGACUGGGACACGGCCCAGACUCCUACGGGAGGCAGCAGUGGGGAAUAUUGGACAAUGGGCGGAAGCCUGAUCCAGCCAUGCCGCGUGUGAGAAGAAGGCCUUUUGGUUGUAAAGCACUUUAAGCGAGGAGGAGGCUACUAGUACUAAUACUACUGGAUAGUGGACGUUACUCGCAGAAUAAGCACCGGCUAACUCUGUGCCAGCAGCCGCCGUAAUAC